rnacentral:miRNA from 1 species
GAGCUCCUCUCAUUCCAAUGA